UAAAUUCUCAAUAGGAUUUAGGUCCGGCUGGAAGUUGAGGCAGAAAUCCAGAACAACCAGAUCACACUAUACCAUCUACAGUAGCUCAAGGUUGUGUGGAAGGAGAUUUGUCUUGCAACGGAUAAUGAUCCAAACCACCCUUCUCACAUGUGUAAAAAUUAUUUAAGAAGAAAGCACGAGAAAGGCGAUUUAGUUGUUACAAAAUUUUCUUCCUCAAUCUCAGGACGUAAAUCCUAUUGAGAAUUUAUGGGACCAUUUGAAACAAGAGAAAGUGAAACAUGAUACCACAAGUAAAGACAACCUACUGUAUAGCAUGUCCUUAAUCAAUGCUGGAAUAACCUUAAGCCAGUAGUACUUAGAACACUUGUUGAACUAUGCCAGAAAGAGUUAAAGCUAUAUUCUAAAAUCAAAAGGAGGUCACACAAAAUAAUGUUCACUUGGCUAAUAUUAAUUAUAAUAAAAUCAAUCCCAACAUUGGUGGGGAUCCUAAUUUGAUGCACAUACUGUAUAUUAAUUAAUGCUCUGUUGUGUGAAAAUAUAUUGUAUAAAAAUAUAUCUAUCGGUCAAACGGAAUCAACUGUAUGUAUGCGAUACCCUUGGACAUGCAUGCAUGCUUGCAAUGUUCUAUUUCAUAAAAGAAAUUAAGUGUUCAACUGGCAUUAGCAACAUGCAUGUAAGUCUCUUCUUUCCACUGAAGGGAAUAAGAAUAUGUUCCAAAAAUAAAAACACAUUCUUACUGUGUCAAGUUACACCUUCAGCACUAUACACAUACAAUAUGCAAACAAAAUACAGAUAUUUAAGAUAUUUACAGCUUUCAGUUUGGUGACAACCAUUCCUUCAGCAACAAACAUCAUGCAGAAGUCUUGGAGAUACAUAUUUC